rnacentral:lncRNA from 1 species
AUAUUCUAGCCAGUAGGACAGACUGAUUGCUUCAGCAACAUCUGUUUAUGCUGUCCAUAACCAAUUUUUCUUUGUAUGUCUAUUACAGCUUACUUUAGCAAUUGUAAUGAACAGCAUAACUAUUUGUGUGACUACACUUGGUAUAAUUCUAUUAAGCAUUGAGAUUGCAACUUUUGCAUUAAAUGCAACCACAUACAAUUGGUCAAAUGCACUUCGCCCUCGGAAAUCUCACUGUCGGAAUCCUUGGAAAUCAUACCACGCACAACUUCUAUUUCUUCAUAAUUUGCAAAGAACCAGUGUGACUCCAGUCAAGAACAAAAGAUUAAUUGUGAAUUAGCGAAGAACUCUAAUUUUUUCAAGAAGCCACAUGGAAAACGCAUUCUA